rnacentral:rRNA from 1 species
GACGAACGCUGGCGGCGUGCUUAACACAUGCAAGUCGAACGGAAAGGCCCUGCUUUUGUGGGGUGCUCGAGUGGCGAACGGGUGAGUAACACGUGAGUAACCUGCUCUUGACUUUGGGAUAACUUCAGGAAACUGGGGCUAAUACCGGAUAGGAGCUCCUGCUGCAUGGUGGGGGUUGGAAAGUUUCGGCGGGUGGGGAUGGACGCGCGGCUUAUCAGCUUGUUGGUGGGGUAGUGGCUUACCAAGGCUUUGACGGGUAGCCGGCCUGAGAGGGUGACCGGGCACAGUGGGAUUGGGAUGCGGCCCAGGCGCAUACGGGAGGCAGGAGUGGAGAAUAUUGCACACUGGGCGGAAGCGGUAUACAGCAACGCCGCGUGCGGGAUGCCGGCUGUCGGGUAGGAAACCGAUUUCGCCUGUGACGAAGCGUGAGUGACGGUACUGGUAAAGAAGCACCGGCUAACUACGUG